rnacentral:rRNA from 1 species
UACGAGGGGGGCGAGCGUUGUUCGGAAUUAUUGGGCGUAAAGGGUGCGUAGGCGGUUCCGCAAGUCCUGUGUGAAAUCUUCGGGCUCAACUCGAAGUCUGCACGGGAAACUGCGGGGCUUGAGUGUGGGAGAGGUGAGUGGAAUUCCCGGUGUAGCGGUGAAAUGCGUAGAUAUCUGGAGGAACACCGGUGGCGAAGGCGGCAUCCUGGACCGACACUGACGCUGAGGAGCGAAAGCCAGGGGAGCAAACGGG